rnacentral:snoRNA from 1 species
CGUCCCUGACCUGGGUAGAGUGGCAUCUGGUUAGUGGUGCCCAUCUCGUAUCAGCCAGGGACAAAGCAACCCCUUGUUCAUCCCAGCUUGGCUUUUGAUCUGUGCCUAUGCCUGGCUCAUGCCUUGGACACAUAG